rnacentral:rRNA from 1 species
GACGAACGCUGGCGGCGUGCCUAAUACAUGCAAGUCGAACGCAGUGGGGACGGGUGAGUAACACGUGGGUAACCUCCCAUCAGAGGGGAUAACACUUGGAAACCGGUGCUAAACCGAUACUGAUGGAUGGACCCGCGGUGCAUUAGCUAGUGGGUGAGGUAACGGCUCACCAAGGCCACGAUGCAUAGCCGAUCUGAGAGGGUGAUCGUCCAAACUGGGACUGAUAGAAGGCCAAGACGCCUACGGGAGGCAGCAGUAGGGAAUCUGCGGCAAUGGGCGAAAGUCUGACAGAGCAACGCCGCGGGAGUGAAGAAGGUUUUCGGAUCGUAAAACUCUGUUGUUAGAGAAGCGGUAUCUAACCAGAAAGCCACGGCUAACUACGUGCCAGCAGCCGCGGUAAUUC